AAAAAAUUGUUGAGCCAUUUUUAUGGUCUUGUGAUGUUUGACUUUCUGUUUGGGCCUUGGUCAAGGUUGAUUUGACUUUUGUUGGAUCAAAACCAUUGGAUUUAGGGGAUUGAUGAAAUGUACAUUUCAUCUUGACUUUCUGUUUGGGCCUUGGUCAAGGUUGAUUUGACUUUUGUUGGAUCAAAACCAUUGGAUUUAGGGGAUUGAUGAAAUGUACAUUUCAUCUCCCAAAAUGAAUGAAUGGUUUUGAUUUAAUGAAAGUCCUCC
rnacentral:lncRNA from 1 species